rnacentral:tRNA from 1 species
ACCCGGCUAGCUUAGUUGGUAGAACAUAUGACUCUUAAUCUCAGUGUUGUGAGUUCGAGCCCCAUGUUGGGUG